rnacentral:misc_RNA from 1 species
GAUGAAGAACGCAGCGAAAUGCGAUAAGUAAUGUGAAUUGCAGAAUUCAGUGAAUCAUCGAAUCUUUGAACGCACAUUGCGCCCGCUAGUAUUCUGGCGGGCAUGCCUGUUCGAGCGUCAUUUCAACCCUCAGGCCCCCAGUGCCUGGCGUUGGGGAUCGGCCGCUGGCGUCCUUCGGGGCGCCUGGCCGGCCCCGAAAUCUAGUGGCGGUCUCGCUGUAGUCCUCCUCUGCGUAGUAGCACAACCUCGCAGUUGGUACUCGGCGGUGGCCAUGCCGUUAAACACCCCACUUCUGAAAGUUGACCUCGGAUCAGGUAGGAAUACCCGCUGAACUUAAGCAUAUCAAUAAGCGGAGGA